CCAUCUACAACCGCACAAAAAAGGUUUUGAAAAAGGGUAACCUUACCUUAAUGGCGAGUCUUAGUUAU
rnacentral:sRNA from 2 species